CCUGAGAAACCCAAAAGAUCGAAUGGGGAGAUUCAUCGUCAGCUCAUUUUCUAUAUGUAUGAGUUAUGAUGCGGGUUACUAUUUAUUUAGUAUUGCCUGCACAUUCUUAUAUAUUUAGUUGUAAGAUGUUGUCGGCGUGCACUUCUCCCCUAGUAGGACGUCGCGACCCGUUGGAUGUCGGUUUACGGCCCAAUUGAUAGACUUUAAUAUUAUUUAAUUAUGAAUAAUAUUAAAGAUCAUUGGUGUUUUCUAACCGACUAUUCGGCGGUACUCGUACGGUAUUUAGCCGCAUUUAUAUUUAAUAUAUGCGUCCAUGCCUGUUGCAAGCAAGGUUAAUAUUAUAGUAGUACGGCCCUAGUGCCGUCGCUAUUAUUAUCCAGCUGUUGGUUUAACAGUGUUCUAGGACUGGCUAAAAUUAAAAAUUACCGGUCGGCGAUGCUACUGCUUUGGGUACUUUCAGG
rnacentral:rRNA from 1 species